GGCGAGGGGCGGGCCGGGGGCGGCGCUGCCUCCGCGGCCGUGCGGGACGGCGGCGGGGCCGGGGCUGGAGCCGCGCCGGGGAGCGGGGACCAAGAGCGGAGCUGCCCCAGCGGGGCGGCUGCGGGGAGGGAGGUGCCGGGCUGCCGGUUGUGCCUGAACCGGAGCAUCCCGAGCCGGAGCGUCCCGAGCCGCAGCAUCCCGAGCCUGAGCAUCCCGGCGGCGUCGGUCGUCUGCUUUUCGAGGGAGGUCAAGGCUGCGGGUGUGGGGUGUUUUCUUCCUCCCCUGCCCCUCGGCCGGUGCGCGUUGUUGGUGCUCUCGGUGCGAGGCGGCCGAGCCGCCCGGUGGCCGAGCGCUGCUGCUCGCUGUUCCCGGCGCCGGGGCCGCUCGCUCCCGCUGUCCGGCGCCGAGCCGAGCCGCGCCAGCUGAGGCGGGUCCCGCCGCGUCCCCGGAGGCUUUGGGAAGCUGCUGAGCGGCCUGGAACAGCUCCCGCCGUGCCUCGUCCGUGGUGCUGCUCCGAGGGAGCAUCCUCAGCGGUUUGCCCGUCCUGUGCUGUAAUACCAAGGGCAUUUGAUUUUCACAAGCGUUUAAGCGAGGGGCUUUUCUCAGCAUGCAGUUGCUUUAGAUUUGGGCGUGAUCACCAGCCACAUCCUCCGCAUUGGACAUUCAGCUUCUAUUUCCAAACCUUCUUCCUGCUUAGCUACUGUCUUAUUUAGUUGCAUGAUAGUAAACUGCUACAAUUUUCCAGUCUAGAGCAUUUUGCCUUUCAAAGCUGAAGCAUUCCUGGUACGUAAAACUCAUUCAGUCCUUUAGCAUGAGCAUGUAAACAUAUUUUUAUUGGCAUUAAGUGUUUUGUGUUACAUGUUUGCUGGAAGGGCAAUAUUGGUAAUAUAGGAAGGAAAUAAGUGUAGAAAACAAAGGUGGUGAGGGGGAAGAUGAAAGAAUUAAACCAGGAACUCCCUGGUCUUCAUACAUAUAUCGAUCUAGUGAAAACUUGCUGCCAGCUUUUGGAACCAAUCAGUAUGAUAGCAGAACUUGGGAGGGGGGCAACACAUCUUCAGGGAUGAGUUGAGUAAGUCUUAUCUUAGAACUGGCAUCACCGUACUGCCUGGGAAGCUGCACAAUCUCCCUCCUGCUCUUCCCGCCCUGUUACAGCAUAUUGAAGUUUGGCCAGACAAGGGACCUCUCGGUUGUAACUAUGCUAAAGGCAAAUUAAGAUCUCAUCUGUUAGGAUAUGUUUACAAUAAGGGCUUUCUAGCAUACCUUCUACUUGUAAAGAAACAGUUCAUAGGAGAUUGUGACAAAAGUGUUAGCUUAUGUAAUAUACAAACACUGCUUUUCCUUGAUGUCAAUUUGUCUCUCUGCUUAAACAGUUUGAAGACACUGAAACAGCCAAGGUAUUUCUCAGCUUGUAGUCACAAAAAAUACAGGAAGAACCAAGAAAACAAAGUGCUGGUGGAAUAGGAGUGGUUGUCUUCACCUGUGAAAGGUGUUUAUACCAAGGACAUGAAUGAAGAAACAAUGCACGGCUGAGAGAAUAUACCAAAGUAGUGGCUCUGGUUGAAAAGCCAGGAUGUACAAACGACACUGUGUAUCUAGGAGAGCAUUUCCUUUUGUGCCAACACUCAUGUUUGAGGACCACAGUAGCAGAACAAAGUUUUGCUCUUUUGUACAUCUAGAACCAGCUGAAUGUGGAGGCAGAGUCUGUGCCUUCUU
rnacentral:lncRNA from 1 species